rnacentral:lncRNA from 1 species
CCGAAAUGUUCUAUCGCGCUGUGGAGCUGAAAGUCCACGUGUAACAUACCAGAUUUUGGUAUAAAAAUAAAAAUAAAUAAAUAUAGAGUGAGAUACUAUUUUUAUUGAAUUUAGAGAAGUAAAGCAUGAGUCAGAAGUGACUUGUGCUGAAAUCGGAAUGAAAACAGAAGAUCUAGAAUUUUCUGUUGGAAACGGGACAGAUAAAUUAGCAAAAAAUGCACAGUCUCAGAAAAUUAUGAAAAUUGGAGGAUAAGUCAGAAAUACUUUUAUGAGACUAGAUUUAAAGUUUCAUUUUUUUUUGACACCCGAAAGGUGAAAAAUAAAAUCCGACAGCUAUCUGAUAAAGAUUACAAUUCGGUACAGUUUUCGGUGACCAAAUGGAGUCGAAACUAAAAACUUAAAAUAUAUUCUUACUCAGUACGUUAAACU